rnacentral:rRNA from 1 species
UACAGGGGGGGCAAGCGUUGUUCGGAAUUACUGGGCGUAAAGGGUUCGUAGGUGGCCAACUAAGUCAAACGUGAAAUCCCUCAGCUUAACUGGGGAACUGCGUCUGAUACUGGAUGGCUCGAGUGCAGGAGAGGAACGCGGAAUUCCAGGUGUAGCGGUGAAAUGCGUAGAUAUCUGGAGGAACACCGGUGGCGAAGGCGGCGUUCUGGACUGCAACUGACACUGAGGAACGAAAGCCAGGGGAGCAAACGGG